rnacentral:rRNA from 1 species
UACGUAGGUGGCGAGCGUUACUCGGAAUUACUAGGCGUAAAGCGCGUGUAGGCGGGAGCUUAAGUCUGUCGUUAAAGCUCAGGGCUCAACCCUGAAAUGUCGACGGAAACUGGGCUUCUUGAGUGCGGUAGAGGAGAUUGGAAUUCCAGGUGUAGCGGUGAAAUGCGUAGAUAUCUGGAAGAACGCCAAAGGCGAAGGCAGAUCUCUGGGCCGUUACUGACGCUGAGACGCGAAAGCUAGGGGAGCAAACAGGAUUAGAUACCCUGGUAGUCCUAGCCGUAAACUAUGUAGACCAGGUGUGGGAGGUAUCGACCCCUCCCGUGCCGACGCUAACGCAUUAAGUCUACCGCCUGGGGAGUACGGCCGCAAGGUUAAA